rfam:Psychrobacter arcticus 273-4, complete genome.
GGCUUUUUUCGCCCAGACGGAGCUCGACCGCUAACUAAAAUAAUGGUUCAGUUUAUCGAUGAUUAUAAAGAUAAUUAGGGGAUCGAGCCUAUCUGCAGAAUCCUACCGAUUGCCCCA